rnacentral:rRNA from 1 species
AUUGAACGCUGGCGGAAUGCUUUACACAUGCAAGUCGAACGGCAGCACGGACUUCGGUCUGGUGGCGAGUGGCGAACGGGUGAGUAAUGUAUCGGAACGUGCCCAGUCGUGGGGGAUAACGUAGUGAAAAUUACGCUAAUACCGCAUACGAUCUAUGGAUGAAAGCGGGGGAUCGCAAGACCUCGCGCGAUUGGAGCGGCCGAUAUCAGAUUAGGUAGUUGGUGGGGUAAAGGCCCACCAAGCCAACGAUCUGUAGCUGGUCUGAGAGGACGACCAGCCACACUGGAACUGAGACACGGUCCAGACUCCUACGGGAGGCAGCAGUGGGGAAUUUUGGACAAUGGGCGAAAGCCUGAUCCAGCCAUUCCGCGUGCAGGAUGAAGGCCCUCGGGUUGUAAACUGCUUUUGUACGGAACGAAACGCGCUGAGCUAAUACCUCGGCGUAAUGACGGUACCGUAAGAAUAAGCACCGGCUAACUACGUGCCAGCCGCCGCGGUAA